rnacentral:rRNA from 1 species
AGUGAACGCUGGCGGCAGGCCUAAUACAUGCCAGUCGAACGGCAGCACAGUGGAGCUUGCUCCAUGGGUGGCGAGUGGCGGACGGGUGAGGAAUACAUGGGAAUCUGCCCAGUCGUGGGGGAUAACGUAGGGAAACUUACGCUAAUACCGCAUGCGCCCUUCGGGGGAAAGCCGGGGACCUUCGGGCCUGGCGCGAUUGGAUGAGCCCAUGUUCGAUUAGCUAGUUGGCGGGGUAAAGGCCCACCAAGGCGACGAUCGAUAGCUGGUCUGAGAGGAUGAUCAGCCGCACUGGGACUGAGACACGGCCCAGACUCCUACGGGAGGCAGCAGUAGGGAAUAUUGGACAAUGGGCGCAAGCCUGAUCCAGCCAUGCCGCGUGAGUGAAGAAGGCCCUCGGGUUGUAAAGCUCUUUUGUCCGGGAAGAAAAGCAUCGGGCUAAUACCUCGGUGUUCUGACGGUACCGGAAGAAUAAGCACCGGCUAACUUCGUG